rnacentral:rRNA from 1 species
AUACAGAGGGUGCAAGCGUUAAUCGGAUUUACUGGGCGUAAAGCGCGCGUAGGUGGCUAAUUAAGUCAAAUGUGAAAUCCCCGAGCUUAACUUGGGAAUUGCAUUCGAUACUGGUUAGCUAGAGUAUGGGAGAGGAUGGUAGAAUUCCAGGUGUAGCGGUGAAAUGCGUAGAGAUCUGGAGGAAUACCGAGGGCGAAGGCAGCCAUCUGGCCUAAUACUGACACUGAGGUGCGAAAGCAUGGGGAGCAAACAGGAUUAGAUACCCGGGUAGUCCAUGCCGUAAACGAUGUCUACUAGCCGUUGGGGCCCUUGAGGCUUUAGUGGCGCAGCUAACGCGAUAAGUAGACCGCCUGGGGAGUACGGUCGCAAGACUAAAACUCAAAUGAAUUGACGGGG